GUUCGGAAACGGACGCUAAUACCGCAUACGUCCUACGGGAGAAAGCAGGGGACCUUCGGGCCUUGCGCUAUCAGAUGAGCCUAGGUCGGAUUAGCUAGUUGGUGGGGUAAUGGCUCACCAAGGCGACGAUCCGUAACUGGUCUGAGAGGAUGAUCAGUCACACUGGAACUGAGACACGGUCCAGACUCCUACGGGAGGCAGCAGUGGGGAAUAUUGGACAAUGGGCGAAAGCCUGAUCCAGCCAUGCCGCGUGUGUGAAGAAGGUCUUCGGAUUGUAAAGCACUUUAAGUUGGGAGGAAGGGCAGUUACCUAAUACGUGAUUGUUUUGACGUUACCGACAGAAUAAGCACCGGCUAACUCUGUGCCACCAGCCGCGGUAAU
rnacentral:rRNA from 1 species